rnacentral:rRNA from 1 species
AACUUGAUAUUGAAUGGAUUCUGGAACGGACUAUUCAUUAAACGUAAGGUCUUAGGAUGAGUCGGCGGCGGAUUAGGCAGUUGGCGGUGUAACGGACCACCAAACCUAAGAUCCGUAGGGGCCCUGAGAGGGGUAGCCCCGAGAGGGACACUGAAAUACUGGUCCCAGCUCCACGGAGUGCAGCAGGCGCGAAACCUCCACAAUACGCGAAAGCGUGAUGGGGGGAUCCUGAGUGCUUACAUUAUAUGUAAGCUUUUGCCAAGAGUUCACAUCUUGGAGAAUAAGUGGUGGGAAAGACCGGUGCCAGCAGCCGCGGUAACCCCGGCGCCACGAGUGGCAAUCUUAUAUUGGGCCUAAAGCAUUCGUAGCAGGUUUGAAAAAUCCUUUGUAAAAUUGUUGAACUCAAUACAACAGCAUGCAGGGGACACUUUCAGACUAGAGACUGGGAGGAGUUGGGGGUAUGCCUUGGGGAACGGUUAAAUGUGAUAAUCCAAGGUAGACCACCUGUGGCGAAGGCGCCCAACUAGAACAGUUCUGACUGUGAGGGAUGAAAGCUAGGGGAGCGAUCCGGAUUAGAUACCCGAGUAGUCCUAGCUGUAAACACUGUGAGCUAGGUGUCGCAUAUUCUACGAGAAUAUGCGGUGUCGAAACGAAGGUGAUAAGCUCACCGCCU